GGGAGAAGCAGACUCCCCACUGAGUGAGGAGCCCAACGUGGGGCCUGAUCUCAGGACUUGGUGAUCAUGACCCAAGCCGAAGAUAGACGCUUAACUGACUGAGCCACUCAGGCACUCCUGACUUAACUCUAAUAUCUUCAAAAUGCAACAAUGACUUCAGUGUGGAGACUGGAAGCAAGAUUUGCUAUAUUACUAGUAAAUCUGUCUCUGCAAUGAUGUUCACUCCAAAGGAAAUGAAAUGAAAGGAAGUUUUGGCUGCUGGGUUGGAGACAGUGGUGGCCAGUCAUUAGAGGACAAAAAGCUGGUUAAGUGAACUAUGGAAAAAUCACCAAAACAUUGCACUGUGAGGUAAAUACUAUCAUAUCCAUCUUAUAAACAAGGAAACAAGCUUGGAAUGAUGAAGUAACUUGCCCAAACUCAUACAGCUAGUAACAGAUGAUACUGGGAUUUGAACCUAUGCUCUUAAUCAGUAGGCCAUGCUGAAAGCAAGGCAGUAGGCUUAUUUAUCAAUAAGCCUCCAAGAAGGCUUCUGUAACCAUGCUUCCCUCCCCUAGUUUGGAUUAUAUGCUUCUCUUCCUUGUUCACAGCACCUUUUGAAAACCCUAUUUCUUAACAAUAUGUUAUUUGGUUUGUUUUACUGUCUCUUCCAUAGUAUUCCAAACCUCUCAGGGGUACUCUUUAUGUCUUGU